rfam:Schistosoma mansoni strain Puerto Rico chromosome 3, complete genome
AUUCAUAUGACGAGUCCUAAAUAGAACGAAACGCGCGUCGUGGAU